CAUUACACAAAUAUGAAGCCGGACUGGGAUAGGGCCUCGCUGCCUUGCCCGUCUGGCGCCAUAUUCACCCAUGUCUUUUUGCGUACUACUUGUUUCCUUGGCGGGUCCGCCCGCCAAUUGGACCUUAUUCAAACCUUUUUUUUCAGUUGCAAUCAGCGUCAGCAAAACAAAUGUAAUCAAUUACAACUUUCAACAACGGAUCUCUUGGUUCUGGCAUCGAUGAAGAACGCAGCGAAAUGCGAUAAGUAGUGUGAAUUGCAGAAUUCAGUGAAUCAUCGAAUCUUUGAACGCACAUUGCGCCCUUUGGUAUUCCAAAGGGCAUGCCUGUUCGAGCGUCAUUUGUACCCUCAAGCUUUGCUUGGUGUUGGGCGUNUUGUCUCUCUCCCGAGACUCGCCUUAAAAUCAUUGGCAGCCGGCCUACUGGUUUCGGAGCGCAGCACAUUAUUUGCGCUCUUGUCCAGCCGCGGUCGCGCGUCCAUGAAGCUUCUUUCAACCUUUUGACCUCGGAUCAGGUAGGAUACCCGCUGAA
rnacentral:rRNA from 1 species